rnacentral:rRNA from 1 species
GACGAACGCUGGCGGCGUGCCUAAUACAUGCAAGUAGAACGCUGAAGAGAGGAGCUUACUCUUCUUGGAUGAGUUGCGAACGGGUGAGUAACGCGUAGGUAACCUGCCUUGUAGCGGGGGAUAACUAUUGGAAACGAUAGCUAAUACCGCAUAACAAUGGAUGACACAUGUCAUUUAUUUGAAAGGGGCAAUUGCUCCACUACAAGAUGGACCUGCGUUGUAUUAGCUAGUAGGUGAGGUAAUGGCUCACCUAGGCGACGAUACAUAGCCGACCUGAGAGGGUGAUCGGCCACACUGGGACUGAGACACGGCCCAGACUCCUACGGGAGGCAGCAGUAGGGAAUCUUCGGCAAUGGGGGCAACCCUGACCGAGCAACGCCGCGUGAGUGAAGAAGGUUUUCGGAUCGUAAAGCUCGGUUGUAAGUCAAGAACGGGUGUGAGAGUGGAAAGUUCACACUGUGACGGUAGCUGACCAGAAAGGGACGGCUAACUACGUG